UACGAAGGGUGCAAGCGUUACUCGGAAUUACUGGGCGUAAAGGGUGCGCAGGCCGCGCGGACAGUCAAAUGUGAAAUUCAGGGGCUCAACCCCUGCAUUGCGCUUGAUACUUCCGCGCUCGAGCCUUGGAAAGGAGUCUGGAAUUCUCGGUGUAGCAGUGAAAUGCGUAGAUAUCUGGAGGAACACCGGUGGCGAAGGCGGCAUCCUGGACCGACACUGACACUGAGGAGCGAAAGCCAGGGGAGCAAACGGG
rnacentral:rRNA from 1 species